UGCGGUUACUGGGAAAACGCCGACUUGCAUCAAUGCAGAGAGCAACUGGUGGUGCCUCAUAUAUCUGGUGCCAUAAUCGCUGGCAGAUGCAGACUUUUGUCCAGUGGUGACCAGUACACAUCGCUUCCUUGCGUGUGCGUUAUUUCUGGAAUGACAACGGUCACGAUUCCAGACGCAACAGAGAACAAGCUUCAAUGGAUGCUGUGACAUCAGGAUCAUGUCACUACCCAGGUGCUGAUCUUGGGUGAGCUGGAGGAUGUCUAGGGAAGCCCCGAGUAAUCUCAGCAACACUGGAUGAACAUCAGUAUAACAGAGAGCACGGAUGCAAGCCUGGAAGGACACGUUUGGCAGAUGCAGCAUAAGUGAACGGGAACCUCCCUUUGAAGCGCUGCAUCACGUGCAGUGCAGCACUCGGCAGCCCGGUGCAUCAAGAGAGAGGGCAGAGCUCACCCUCAUUAGCUCGCAAGCGCCCAGCUCAGGUCCAUCUCGACAAUUAUUUCACAAUGGCCACGAACAAGCACUGGCGUCAUCGCACCCCUCGUCUCAUUACAGAUUAUUUCCUUAGUAACGCAAGGCUCUGAUGUCUCUCGUUAGAGUCUUAUUUGGCUCCCAUCGCCAUAGCAACGCGUGCCCCGAAGCCAUUCAGAUUUUUACAAUCGCAACGCCCGGUGAAGUCUAAGACGAAUCUCUACUCUGCACUUCGAGGUAGGGAACUGAGGCACAGAGAGGCUUAAGUCAAAGGAAAGCCAGGUUGGAAGUAACUUCAGGAGGACAUCUGGUCCAGCCCCCGCGCGAGGCAGAAUCAUCCUCCACCGAACCCUCCCAGCCAAGUGUGUGUCUAACCUGCUCUUGACAACUUCCAGGGAUGGAGAUUUCACAACGUCUCUAGGCAGCCUGUUCCAACGCUUG